CGGGACACGUGGUAUCCUGUCUGAAUAUGGGGGGACCAUCCUCCAAGGCUAAAUACUCCUGACUGACCGAUAGUGAACCAGUACCGUGAGGGAAAGGCGAAAAGAACCCCGGCGAGGGGAGUGAAAAAGAACCUGAAACCGUGUACGUACAAGCAGUGGGAGCCUCUUAAUGGGGUGACUGCGUACCUUUUGUAUAAUGGGUCAGCGACUUAUAUUCUGUAGCAAGGUUAACCGAAUAGGGGAGCCGAAGGGAAACCGAGUCUUAACUGGGCGUUAAGUUGCAGGGUAUAGACCCGAAACCCGGUGAUCUAGCCAUGGGCAGGUUGAAGGUUGGGUAACACUAACUGGAGGACCGAACCGACUAAUGUUGAAAAAUUAGCGGAUGACUUGUGGCUGGGGGUGAAAGGCCAAUCAAACCGGGAGAUAGCUGGUUCUCCCCGAAAGCUAUUUAGGUAGCGCCUCGUGAAUUCAUCUCCGGGGGUAGAGCACUGUUUCGGCAAGG
rnacentral:rRNA from 1 species